rnacentral:rRNA from 1 species
UACAGAGGUCUCAAGCGUUGUUCGGAUUCAUUGGGCGUAAAGGGCGCGUAGGCGGCGCGGUAAGUCGGGUGUGAAAUCUCGGAGCUUAACUCCGAAACUGCAUUCGAUACUGCCGUGCUUGAGGACUGGAGAGGAGACUGGAAUUUACGGUGUAGCGGUGAAAUGCGUAGAUAUCGUAAGGAAGACCAGUGGCGAAGGCGGGUCUCUGGGCAGUUCCUGACGCUGAGGAACGAAAGCCAGGGGAGCAAACGGG